rnacentral:rRNA from 1 species
AAAGGAAUAGACGGAAGGGCACACCAGGGGUGGAGCCUGUGGCUUAAUUUGAAUCAACACGGGGAAACUUACCAGGACCAGAUGUUUUUUAUGACUGACAGGCUUAAGGUCUUUCAGGAUAUGAUUUUUGGUGGUGCAUGGCCGUUGGUGGUGCGUGGGUUGACCUGUCUAGCGUUGAUUCAGCUAACGAGCGAGAUUAUCGCCAAUUAUAUACUACUGAUAGUAAUUUAUUUUCUAUCCAAUAGUAGUUCUAAUUGGGACUCCCUGCGAUUUUAGCAGGCGGAAGAGGGUAGCAAUAACAGGUCCGUGAUGUCCUUUAGAUGCUCUGGGCUGCACGCGUGCUACAAUGUUAGGAUCAAUAGGAAAUAUUGUAAAAAUAGUCUGCUAAGCUGAAAGGCUGCGCUACUCCUAUAAUGCCUAACGUAGUUGGGAUUGACGUUUGUAAUCAGCGUCAUGAACCAGGAAUCCCUUGUAAAUGUGUGUCAACAUCGCACGUUGAAUACGUCCCUGCCCUUUGUACACACCGCCCGU